GAAACAAAUGUGUGUCUUUUAUGGGUAAUAUGUGGGAAUCCAGCUGUCGAUGGCUUGGGGACUCUGCAGGUGUAGAUUGCCUGGGGACAGUCAAGGGGUGGUGAAUGCCUGGAUUGUCCAAACAAGCCCGAGCAGACUGGCAGGCGCCAGCGCGGUGACGUCACCCAUUCAUCCGAGCCUUGACGCCUGUCAGCCUGGCGCCGCUCGGGCGGUCUCCAUGGAGACGUCAAACAAGAGAGCUCGCACUCCUCCAUUCACCUGCGUGGCGCGCGGAGUCCUGAGAACAAACCGGCUCCGGAGCUUUGUCGUCCAUUUUUCACCUUAAAGCAGCGGGGCCAGAUUACCGCCCCGCGCACCUGCAGAGCCGCCGCUGUCAGCCAGAGACGGAGGAGGAGGAGGAAGAGGAGGAGGAAGGCUCGGCAUGAUGUUGUUACCGCAUUUUAACACAAAAUAACCGCUGCAUUCCUCCACACAGCCCACUUUGGCUACUGUAUGCUCCUGUGGUUACCACGACACUUCUUUUAAAAACUCGAUUUCAUGCAUUUUUCUUUCAUUUGCAGAAAUUAAAUCUACCCUCUUGUCACCGAUGACACUUCGUUAUGUCAUGUGAUGAAGGCUAAAUCUUUUGUUUAACUAAAACUUAAAGUAAGAGG